rnacentral:rRNA from 1 species
AGAGUUUGAUCAUGGCUCAGGAUGAACGCUGGCGGCGUGCUUAACACAUGCAAGUCGAACGAACAUAUCUUUCGGGAUGUGUUAGUGGCAGACGGGUGCGUAACACGUAGGUGACCUGCCCUAAAGUGGGGAAUAACUAUCCUAAAGGAUGGCUAAUACCGCAUAUGUUCGGUGAUUCAUUUCACCGAGUAAAGUCGCAAGACGCUUUGGGAUGGGCCUGCGGCGGAUUAGGUAGUUGGUGGGGUAAUGGCCUACCAAGCCGAUGAUCCGUAGGGGGCGUGAGAGCGUGGCCCCCCACACUGGCACUGAGAUACGGGCCAGACUCCUACGGGAGGCAGCAGUGAGGAAUAUUGCACAAUGGGCGAAAGCCUGAUGCAGCAACGCCGCGUGAGGGACGAAGGCCUUCGGGUCGUAAACCUCUUUUCUGGGGAAAGAGCAAGGACGGUACCUCAGGAAUAAGUCUCGGCUAACUACGUGCCAGCAGCCGCGGUAAAACGUAGGAGGCGAGCGUUAUCCGGAUUUACUGGGCGUAAAGCGCACGCAGGCGGUUCCGUUAGUCGGAUGUGAAAGCUCCUGGCUUAACUGGGAGAGGCCAUUCGAUACUGCGGGACUUGAGGUUGGAAGAGGGGUGUGGAAUUCCCGGUGUAGUGGUGGAAUGCGUAGAUAUCGGGAGGAACACCUGUGGCGAAAGCGGCACCCUGGUCCACACCUGACGUUGAGGUGCGAAAGCGUGGGUAGCAAACAGGAUUAGAUACCCUGGUAGUCCACGCUGUAAACGAUGUCAACUAGGUGUCGGUAGUUUUACACUAUCGGUGCCGAAGCAAACGCGUUAAGUUGACCGCCUGGGGACUACGGGCCGCAAGGCUAAAACUCAAAGGAAUUG